GGAUGAAGAAGAACGCGAACCAGAUAACAAACGCGAACAAUAAAUCUUAUGCAUCCACCAAGUAGAACGAAGAACGAAAUCGACAGACGACGAAAGAUUAGUCGUUCGAUCCAGUAGAAGAAGAACGAACCACACCACCAAGGUCUCUCUCUCUCUCGAUUAUUAGGUUUUUUUUGUCUGAACCAGUUUAGGGCGUUUUUUUUUGUUCGAUCACUUUUGUUCUGUUACUCAAAAUUAGGGUUUUUUUCUUUUGCUUGAUUAGGGUAAAAGAAACCACAUCCACGAUGAAAUUUUUUAUUCUGGUAGGGUAUAAUUAGGGCUUUUUAUUUUGUUACUCGAUUAAGGCUUUUUGUUAUGUUGUUAUGCAAGUUUAGGGAUGUUAAUUUAGAAACAAAAUCAAAAUGUUUGGCCGAUAUUAUGUUGAUUUGUUGAAAAAUAAGAGUCUUGAUGGGGCCAUUUGUUUUGAUAGGCUUUGGUGCCACUGUGAAUGUUGCCAAAACACUAAAGGGCUCAACUGUGGCUAUUUUCAGAUUUGGAGCAGUAGGCCUAGCAAUGAGUUUCACUAAUUUCAAAGCAAAAUAAGAUAUUUGCAUACCACUUACCCAAAAAAGAAAAGAAAAGA